rnacentral:rRNA from 1 species
GACGAACGCUGGCGGCGUGCUUAACACAUGCAAGUCGAACGGAAAGGCCCUGCUUUUGUGGGGUGCUCGAGUGGCGAACGGGUGAGUAACACGUGAGUAACCUGCCCUUGACUUUGGGAUAACUUCAGGAAACUGGGGCUAAUACCGGAUAGGAGCUCCUGCUGCAUGGUGGGGGUUGGAAAGUUUCGGCGGUUGGGGAUGGACUCGCGGCUUAUCAGCUUGUUGGUGGGGUAGUGGCUUACCAAGGCUUUGACUGGUAGCCGGCCUGAGUGGGUGACCGGCCACCAGGGGCCUGAGAGACGGCCCAGACUCCAACGGGAGGCAGCAGUGGGGAAUAUUGCACAAUGGGCGGAAGCCGGAUGCGACAGCGCCGCGGGCGGGAUGACGGCCUUCUGGUUGUAAACCGCUGUCGCCUGUGACGAAGCGGGAGUGACGGUAAUGGGUAAAGAAGCACCGGCUAACUACGUG